AUUGAACGCUGGCGGCAUGCUUUACACAUGCAAGUCGAACGGCAGCGCGGGCUUCGGCCUGGCGGCGAGUGGCGAACGGGUGAGUAAUACAUCGGAACGUGCCCAGUAGUGGGGGAUAGCUCGGCGAAAGCCGGAUUAAUACCGCAUACGACCUGAGGGUGAAAGCGGGGGAUCUUCGGACCUCGCGCUAUUGGAGCGGGCGAUGGCAGAUUAGCUAGUUGGUGGGGUAAAGGCCUACCAAGGCGACGAUCUGUAGCUGGUCUGAGAGGACGACCAGCCACACUGGGACUGAGACACGGCCCAGACUCCUACGGGAGGCAGCAGUGGGGAAUUUUGGACAAUGGGCGAAAGCCUGAUCCAGCAAUGCCGCGUGUGUGAUGAAGGCCUUCGGGUUGUAAAGCACUUUUGGCGGGAACGAAAAGGACUGUGCCAAUACCACGGUUCGAUGACGGUACCCGCAGAAUAAGCACCGGCUAACUACGUG
rnacentral:rRNA from 1 species